CGCUGACGGCACCGGCCGUAUUGUCGAUGGCGGCCAAGUUACUCCAGCGUUGCUGCUCAAUGUGCGCUACCUAACGAUUGGCCGUGGGCAAUAGUCGAUGACCCUCUGCAAAUGUAGACGCUAGAGUGCACUAUAAAAGGGGUUACAAUUAGGGUCGAGGGUAGCGGCUGCAGUUGACUAUUCCUAAAAGUAACGUUCGUACGAUUGACCUUUGCCCUGUUCUAUGUUCAUCAGUACCAUAGGGUGGACCUGCUACCGGUAGCUGUGGCUGAAUCACGCAAAGAGGACGUCAGAAAUCGACACGGGUUUUGAACAUUUGAACGAAGAGGCUAAUGAGAUGUUGUGCUUAUUAAGUAAAAGCUAAAAAUGAUGUGCCCUGGCCUUCAGCCUGGACCAAAGGAUACAGCCAAACCCAGAACGGCAACAGCCAGCAAACACCACUCCGUUUAUUUGCGGUGGCAUCUGCUUGAGUUCGUAUAGACCCAAGUUGCCAUCGACGCGAUAGAAGCCAUCGUGACGCACUAGUUUGGUCGAAUCGAUUGACGAGUGAACCGUUUUUGCCACAAGUGGAUCAAAUCAGCUGCGUCGUCGAUCAAGCAACGAAGAUAACAUCGACAAGUACUAAGUAUCGGCAGCAGAGGGUCGGUUUACCCGAUGUUGGUUAGGCUUGUUCCUGCUACUUUAGGCUUUUAUUGUAUCUCGGUAAAUUCGGAGUUAAGCUUAGCUGACGCGCUUUCUUUUAGUUUGUUUCUUGACUGGCGCAUGCACCAUUCCUCCUUCUUCCCAUAUUCCUUGUAACUGUUUGACAACUGUGAAACCGUGUGGGCCCGUCCCCUGCUCGCCCGUUCUCGCCGGUGUCGUUGCCAAGUUGUCGACAAGUCACUGCCGACAUGACAACGGCGAUCUUCCUUUUUGCAGUCAGGAAGAGCAAAAACUUAGGGGAUUAAGGUAGAGGUAAAGGGGGCGGCAGAGGUUUAAAUAUAAGAUGGCCAACUCUUCUACUUCUAAUGAGAAGAAAAUACUAAGCGUGAUUGGCGCUUGGCUAUCUGCUAGAAAAAGCGAACUGUAUAAACUUAAACAUGAAUGCUAUAAUUAUAUUAAUGCUAUUGUAUAACAACGUUUUGAUGAUGAACUACUACUAUUUUGGAGUCAGACUUGUUUUGAAAACAAAGAAAAAUGCAUUAUGCAUAAAUGUGUUUCACAGCUAGAUCAAUCGCGCUGAAAUCGUUUCAUUUGAAGUGCCAAACUUACGGGAGCGUAGCACGUAUGGCUAAUACUUGUCUCCGAGUGCAUUGCCAUAGUGACAAAUAUGAUGUUUCUAGCUCAAGUCUCAGCGUUGGUAAACAAAGAAUUUAUAAAAAUAGAGGCAACAAGUAAAGGUUGAUAGCUACAGCAGUUAGUUACUCCGCAGCCUCGCAAGUUUGUUGAGGAACUUCAUACAAGCCCAACAAAUAGCUUCCAGCGCUCUUUGAAACAAUAUUCAAGGCCGACAUAGCAGAGUAACUCGAAAGGGUCAGCUCGAAAUCACACGCUCACUUGAACCAAAACUCCCCUGUGUAGCGUCCUCCAUCCAAGAAUCAGGAGAAGGAUUACUUCAUUGUUGACAUUGUUUUUUAUGUUUCGUUGAUUAUGGUCGACGUGAGCAUGACGAUAUCAAAAAACCAAUACGAUUGGUUUUGCGUUUUCUUACCGAGUGAAGCUUAUUUAUAAACGGAUAAGGCGAAAAGGCUGUAGGCAUUAUAGUUUGUUCCACUUCGUAUAGCAUCUCCAUUAACGUUCCACCAGUUGGAAAGAAAACGGUCCAAAUGGUUAGGCUGCUUUGCACUGAGCUCUAAUGGGUAAAUGAAUAAUGGGAAAACUGAAAAACGAAAGUAUUCACAGGUGUUUACCCCAUCUGCUCUCUGAGGACUUCAUUUUAUUUCAAAUAUUUUUUCAAUCUCUUCAACUAUGCCCCUUUAUUGCCGUGUUUCUUUAAUUUUUUAUAGAACGACAGAAGCAAUAUGGGCAAAAGACUUACCAGAAACGAAAGAUUUACUUUACGAAGACUGCAGUGUAUUCACGUUAGUUGAAAAAUUGAAGGCGAGAGAGUUAUGCCGUGCGGUGUAUUCCCUUAUGGAGAUGAUAUAUCACAUAUUAUCUAUUUUUGUCAAUACCAGGCUAAUUCUGUCGGCUGGACGCUGUUUGCUGUUAUUCUUUAUUGGAUGCAGCCCGUGUGAUCUGUUAUUACUCGGAAAAUUCGGCCGAAUCAGGAUAAAGGUUUUAUAGUUUUUUUCAGUUUGUAACUUUACUUCAUUGACGGUCGCGCGAUCAGACUGACUGGCGUCACAAUGCAGCUGUUAACCUGCCUGCGGUUGGUUGCCUCAGUUGGACACCUGUAACUUAGUUACCGCCUGCGGACUUCCGUACAUACACAGUUAUAAUCGACAAGCACAGAUAAUUUUUUGGACUUAAAUACAGAUUUAUGCAGCCUUUGCUAAUAGGCUCAGAUGUCUGCUAUUUAAGUUUGUGAUGCGACCCGGAUAAUGGGUUCCUCACGACGAUCCACGCGCUCCACCGAAGAGCACCUAUCGCUUGGCCUUCCUGUGCUCUUCAGCGAGUUGUUGGUCUUCAAAUGGACGCCGAAUAAUGGUUUUCCCGCGGUAACGGAUGAGUUCCGGUUGACAUUCGACCACAUGCAAGAGGUUGAGAAUUUAGGCAAUGAGCUUCGAGUGUUCUUCGCGUCGUAUGAUGAAGCGCUUACUGCACUCGAGAAUUCCGAGGUUCGUCGGAAUACAUUUCGUUUUCUUGAUCAGUACGGCACCAUUGAAGACCUCCUGAAAAAUGAAAUUCUACGAACAAUAAAUGUUAACCGCGGACUGAUACCUGAGUGUCUAGAGGAACGAAUCCGAAAUCAGCAGAAAUGGUACAAAGGCGAUGACAACUUCUCGUUAGAAUUUGCACGGGAAUUUCUUAGAAGAAAGUUCAGUGCGGUGCGAAACCCAUUUCACACGCCACAACCGACAGGCCUUCUGCCGCCCCUUCCACCACCUCGAAAACACAAAUUCGGCAGCAGUAAUCCACAGCAAAGCUUGCGACCACCUGAUGGACAUUUAUUUGACUCGGUGCAACCUCCGAUGUCACAAGCUAUGUCCGUUUACACGGCUUCGGGCCGACCUCGAAGGAACUCAGCUCCCCUGAAUGCUUUGAGUCCACCUAAACCCCGAAGACACGUUCCCAUCGAACAGUUGCCCUCACCUCCGCCGACACCUCCACCUCUGCGCAGCCAGCGAGAGAUGACUCAAUACGCUGAUAGCGUGAGUCCCACCGACAAUGUCAGCAACGGCAGUGUUAACGAUCCACGUACAACAGAAAUCACCUCUGAACACGCCGCCGAAAAUGGAGCAGUACCACUAUUGCGAGCUGAAAUCACCUCAAACGAUCAAGCUGAAACAUUAAGCACGGCUGACGUAACCGAUGUCGCGGUAAACACUAGUUCAUCCUGUCUUGCCACGUUCAACUGUAUGACGAAUCAAAGGAAAAGUGGUACAGAAGAGACUGGGGGGGCCGUUGAGGUCAGUCAAGAUGAGUCCAGUAUCCUUCGUACAGUGCCGACUGAUUUCGUACAAAAUACUCUGACAACUACUGAUACAACAAUGACCUCCCCAUUACAAAAAAGCGACAAUGGUAUUUUUCUGCUUGAAAUGAUUCCUGGAUUAGUGGAUCAUGUUGCUCAAGAGGCUGCUGAUGGCUUUGCUCAACGAGUGUUUUUCAAAGACAGCAGCAGUAGCGCCGCUUCGAUUCAGCGAAAUAACAGCAGCGAUAGACCUAGUGAUAAUGAUGAUAUGAUGAAUAAUAACAACAAUAAGAUAAUCGAUAACAAUAACGCAAACAAUAUAGUGAAAAGGACGGGGAUGCUGGCCGUAACAGACAAGCUAAUUAAAGAUGAGAAUCGGCUGCUAGAAUAUGAUCGACUACCUCAAGAGACGGCUAUGUGACCUGUGUGGACAAAGGGCUGACAAUGCAGAACAGCUGCAAUUGCACAUGAUUCAGUCGCUUGUAAAGCAAUCAGAGUACAGUCACCAGGUAUCUACUAGAUCAAAGACGGAUCUGCUGUCUGCUAUGUGCAUGCAGUGCGGCCCAGCUUUUUAUUUGAUCUUUUGCUGCAGGCAUGUACGGAAGUUACUUGGCUACGAAGCCAGGUCCGCGUAUCUUGCGCCUUCCGUAGUAGUGAAGUGCAGGGACACUCCAAAGUCAAAAGUUGUAAAACGCUCUCAAGGUACGAUGGGUCGAGCGAGAAAGAAAUACUGGAAUAUUGCUAUUCGUAAAAGCGAAUGGAGGAGGGAAGAUCUAAGCGUGAUUUGGGUAGAAACCAACCGACGCCACUACAAAUGGGACUGCGUUAGCAUUGUUAAAAUUAAAGCAGUGAUCGAAUUAGCAGUCUGAAGAAAUACAGUGCGGUCAUUAUUUUUGAGAAGUAAAAAUAAAGUUUUGAAUUAUUAAUCUUGAAGAAAUCCUAGUAGUUUUCAAAACUUAAUGAAUAUGACUUUACAGUAUUUUUUUUUUGUUGCAGAUUAGCAUAGAUGAGCUUGCAGCACAUUGUCAGUUUUUUAUUGUCUUUAUGACAAACGAUCUUUUUUGAGACGUUGCUGUUCGAAUCAUAUAAGGUAAAAUUAUCAUUUUGUCCUAUGUAUUUAAGUAUAUUAUCCUAAAACGUAAGUCAUAUUUGUUUAUCGUUUUCUCUUUUAUCUAUAUAAUAACUAUUUACAGAGAGUACGAAGGGCUGUAAAAACGGCUUUUCUCUACAGUGUACACAAGGACGCACCAUUUUACAAACGGUUACUUAUUGCGACCAUUCACGAGGACUUCUCAGACAUUCUCAAGGUUUUAGCCCUUUCAGAAUGAAUUCAAACGCAAAUUAGUUAAUCGCUUAAAUUGUCAAUUCCGUUCGAGACCAUUUAGAAUGGAUAAUCGUUUUAGUGCCAACCGAUCUUGGCCAAUUCUGAUAGUUUUUCGGAACGAUUUUACAUAUUACGGGUUCUCAAUUCAAACAAAGAGUAAUAUCCAAUUUACCAUAAUAAAUAAUGAAGAAUUUUUUACAAUUUACUGCAUAAUAAUUAUAAUUCUUCUCCGUCUCUCUGAACAUCGCAGUAUUAUAGCACCGCUAGA